rnacentral:rRNA from 1 species
UACGGAGGGGGCUAGCGUUGUUCGGAAUUACUGGGCGUAAAGCGCACGUAGGCGGACUGUUAAGUCGGGGGCGAAAUCCUGGGGCUCAACCUCAGAAUUGCCUCCGAUACUGGCAGUCUCGAGUGCGGGAGAGGUGAGUGGAAUUCCCAGUGUAGAGGUGAAAUUCGUAGAUAUUGGGAAGAACACCAGUGGCGAAGGCGGCUCACUGGCCCGUAACUGACGCUGAGGUGCGAAAGCGUGGGGAGCAAACAGGAUU